CCUACGGGUGGCAGCAGUGAGGAAUAUUGGUCAAUGGACGAGAGUCUGAACCAGCCAAGUAGCGUGAAGGAUGACUGCCCUAUGGGUUGUAAACUUCUUUUAUAUGGGAAUAAAAUGUUCCACGUGUGGGAUUUUGUAUGUACCAUAUGAAUAAGGAUCGGCUAACUCCGUGCCAGCAGCCGCGGUAAUACUGAGGAUCCGAGCGUUAUCCGGAUUUAUUGGGUUUAAAGGGAGCGUAGGUGGAUUGUUAAGUCAGUUGUGAAAGUUUGCGGCUCAACCGUAAAAUUGCAGUUGAAACUGGCAGUCUUGAGUACAGUAGAGGUGGGCGGAAUUCGUGGUGUAGCGGUGAAAUGCUUAGAUAUCACGAAGAACUCCGAUUGCGAAGGCAGUUCACUGGACUGCAACUGACACUGAGGCUCGAAAGUGUGGGUAUCAAACAGGAUUAGAUACCCUUGUAGUC
rnacentral:rRNA from 1 species